CCGAAAGGGGGUGUUCCUCCUGAGCCGCCCCGGGCCGCCCGCGGCCGUUCCCGAAGCCUGCGAGGCCGCCCCCGGGGCCGUGGGGGUCCCGAGCCAAGCUGGGCCGCCGGGCGCCCAAGAGGCGGCCCCGCCCGUCGCCCCCGCCGCCGCGAGGGGCCCCCCGCGCCCGGGCCGGCCGAGCCCCGCCGAGUCGGGCGCUCCUCCGCCCGGGAAGCCCCGGAGGCCGUUUCCGCCCGCGGCCGCCUCGCACUCACCCCGGCCCCGCCGCCGAGGACCCCGGUCGAGCGAAGCAGGAGGAGCCGCGGCGCCGCCGGAGCCGGGCCCGCCCGGGCUCUGCCGCUCCGGCCGGCUACAGGGCACCGCGACCAGGACCCCGGGCCCGCCGCGACCCGGAAGCACUCAGCCACGGCGUGACGUCCCGCGGAGGCGGGUCCAGAGGGGGGCCGGGCCGCGGCUGCGCGCUGGGCCCGGGCGAGGCCGAGGCCCCCGGGCGGCGGCGGUGGCGGCGGCGGAGGCGGCGGAGACGGCGGAGGCGGCGGGGCCCGACGAGCGAGCCCAGGAGCCGCCGAACUCCGCUCUGGGGCCCCGAGGGCCGCGGCCGCGGCGGGGUCUCGGACCCGGAAGCAAAUGGACCGGAAGUGACGCGCGCCGCGGCCCCAGGAUGGCGGCUGGCCGGGUUGUCAUGGGAACCGGUCUGAGCCGGGCGGCGGAGGCUCAGAGCUGUGAGCGCAGCCCGCGGACCGCGGCUUCCGCCGCCCGGACUUGCCCCCCUCCAGGUGACCGAGAGCUGCGCUCCCGACCGCGCCUGAGCUGAUGGCUGGACCCCCUCGCCCCAUUUUACGGACGGAAAUACCGAGAGCAAGCGUUUUUCUCAUCACAAAAGUAGCACAUGAAUUCCAAUGAUGCAGACGUGUGUAGAACGAAAAAUGAAAAAGAAAAGCAACCCUAGGACCCAGCAGUUUGAUUUCUUGGAAUCUACUAGAGAAACCAGCGUACAUGCACCAAGAAACCUGUUGCGUCGUUGUUUGUAAUGCAAAAUCAAAACCAGAACCAUGCUAAAUGUCCGUCAGUAGGGGAGUGGUGUGUCCGUGCUGAUGACUAGGGUGUGUCACUGAAAAAGAUGAUGGAAACCUGUGUACCUCUGCAGGACGUGCCCUGAAAUGGAAACCGUAUUGUCUAAGGGUGUGUAUAAGUGUAUAAAGUCAGCGGGAGACAGUAAUGCAAAUAUCGAUCAUGUGUUUUUU
rnacentral:lncRNA from 1 species